UACAGAGGUCUCAAGCGUUGUUCGGAUUCAUUGGGCGUAAAGGGUGUGUAGGUGGCGCCGUAAGUCGGGGUGUGAAAUUUCGGAGCUUAACUCCGAAACUGCAUUCGAUACUGGCGGUGCUUGAGGACUGGAGAGGAGACUGGAAUUCAUGGUGUAGCAGUGAAAUGCGUAGAGAUCAUGAGGAAGACCAGUGGCGAAGGCGGGUCUCUGGACAGUUCCUGACACUGAGACGAAGGCCAGGGGAGCAAACGGG
rnacentral:rRNA from 1 species